CAUUAUAAUCUGAAAUAUAUACACACAAUAUGAGCGUUAUUAUCAAUAGCUCUGUUUAAUAUGUACAUUCCCUCAAGUCUUUAGCCAGAAGUGGUAUGCUUAACUAACUGGAGUGGGCUGCAAUGAACCAACCGAAAUGUAGACCAAGGGGGCCCCAGUGACGUGGACAGAUUACAUCCUCAGGAAUUGGUUACUUUGUGUUGACCGUGAACUGACGGUUAACUGUAAAUGUUUUGCCGUCAUGGUGAAAGAAGCGGGGGCUAAUGGUAUUUUGGCAUCUGGGAUGAGGUUUACAGCUGGAGGACCUUCAUCAAAACCAUGAAAACUUGUCUGGUUUGGGCGGGCGUUUGGCAGCUCCUCCCCUGGGCUUCAGACGGGGUCAGAAGUGAAUUAUGAGUCAGACCAAUAUGCGAAUCGAGCGACCUCCCCUUCCCCUUGCAUGCAAUGAUGUGGUGAACUUCCUCUCGAUCAUUCUAAGUCAGUGCUCUCCAGAGAGCAAUUUCGUCGAUACACGUGAUGGUCCGGAAUCCCCAAAAUCUCCAAUAGCAAAGUCUCCAUCCCAGAACUCUCUUCGUAAUGCUAGUCUUGUUGCCGAAAGGAAAAUGUUUGUUGUGUCCCAGGUUGGAAGGUCCAGUUUCCAGAAGCUUUUGGAGCCAAAUUAAGCCCCCACUCAGAGAUCUGCAAUUACUCCUUAUAGAAUUAUUCUUGGUAAUAUAAAAGACAAGCAAUCAUGUGGAUCAGGGAUCCUAGCUGAUGGUGGGCUUGAUGAUUUGAUCCGAAGAGUUGCUACCUUUGGGAUGGUAUUAAUGAAAGCUCGACUUGCGUCAGGUGUGCUUUUAUUUUAUUGUAGAAGCUAGACGUUGCUACCCCAGGCUGAGCUUGGCUUCCUCAACGUAGGAAGCUGCCCCUCAAGAAGAAAGAGCUCUACUGGAAUUGGACAUCUUCGGCAGUUCCAUGGGUGUUUGCAUGGACUCAAGCCAGAUUUGUCUUCCAGCUUUGCUUGGAGUUAAACCCCUUGUUGAUCUUUUUGUGAGAGCAUCAAACACACCAGCCAUAAAGGUGUAUGAGAAGAAUCCCAUAUUGAAUCUCUCAUUCUUGCCAAGAUUAUAGGAGCUAUGCAGACGCCAUCCCUUGGAUGAGAAAUUAUAAUGGUGUAUAGGUGCUAUUUUUUUACAUUUAGACUCAUGAAGAUCUAUCAGUGAUUGUAAUCCCUUCCAAAGGUUUCUUUUAGGGUAUGUUUCUGUGGAAUCUAACAAAAGAAGAGAAUUGUUUUCGACACUCAAGUUCAACAAUGUGAUGCUUAGAAGCACAAAAUUGGUUCAUAGUUCAAGUGGAGACUUGGAAUGAUUUAUUGGGAAAUUCUUUACAUUCUUAGAAAGGCUUUUAUUUCGAGCAGUAAAACAUUA